UCCUGCCCUCACGGAGCUCUCAUGCAAGUGGGAAGAAAAGAAAGACCAAGAAACAGACAAUUACAAUACAAUAUGAUGAGUACCAGCGUGCUCCAAGGAGUGUUUCCAUCGUGGAUAAUUCACAGUCAACUGCUGUGAGGAUUAUCUCAGACGUAUCAAGCCUACUGCUCAUAUAAACAUUAUGGAGGCAGCAUGGUAAAACACAGUACAACAGGAAGACCUGUGCAGGGAGACCUGGGUGCUGCUCCUUAGCUCUACCAUUAAUAAGUACCUUGAUCUUCAUCUGAGGACUCCACCCCUCCCUAUGGAGCCCAUGUGCCUUCAGAGAAGCGGACCCACUCCCUGUGCCAAAAUAAAUAAUCAAGCAAGAAAACACAAAACUUUGGUCAAAUUACCAGCACAGGGUCCACAAUACAGAGAGGAGCAGAUCCAGCAAACAAAAAACAAGAUAAGGAACAAAAUGUGAUCAGAAUCCAAGUCAUCAAAGGUAGGAUACUAGAGGCUGGAGUCAUGGGGAAUAGGGGAAAACAUUUAGGUUCAAGAAGUAGGGUUUGAAAGGUGGCUUAUCAGAUAAAGAAUAUCUGGUCUAUUUGUUUACCAGACCCUCGUUUUUUAGGUGCACAAAAUGGCACCCCACUCCAGUACUCUUGCCUGGAAAAUCCCAUGGGUGGAGGAGCCUAGUAGGCUGCAAUCCAUGGGAUCAAUAAGAGUCGGACACGACUGAACGA